rnacentral:rRNA from 1 species
CAGCCGUAAACUAUGCUCGCUAGGUGUCAGGCAUGGCGCGACCGUGUCUGGUGCCGCAGGGAAGCCGUGAAGCGAGCCACCUGGGAAGUACGGCCGCAAGGCUGAAACUUAAAGGAAUUGGCGGGGGAGCACAACAACGGGUGGAGCCUGCGGUUUAAUUGGACUCAACGUCGGACAACUCACCGGGGACGACAGCAAUAUGUAGGCCAGGCUGAAGACCUUGCCUGAAUCGCUGAGAGGAGGUGCAUGGCGUAGACGUCU